CACCGCCUGUAACACUAUGGGAGUUUUUCAUAGCCAAAGUUGUUACCUUAACAGCAAGGAGAGGGAUGCCGAAUGCAGGGCUAGUGACUAGAGUGAAGUCCUAACAAGGUAUCCAUACUAGAAGGUGCUGCUA
rnacentral:ncRNA from 1 species